CGCGGGGUGGUGCAGUCUGGUAGCACGCCGGGCUCAUAACCCGGAAGUCGCCGGUUCGAAUCCGGUCCCCGCUA
rnacentral:tRNA from 1 species